CCCGCUGAACUUAAGCAUAUCACUAAGCGGAGGAGAAGAAAUUAACUAAGAUUGCCUCAGUAACGGCGAGUGAAGCGGCAAAAGCCCAAAAUGUAAAUCUUGUGCACUACGUGUACACGAAUUGUAAUCUAGAGAGGGUCUACUCAACGGGCGGUGGCGCAGAAGUGACCACGAACGGUCCGCCAGAGAGGGUGAAAGCCCCGUAUGUGGUGCCACUGCUUAACGAGUGGGUUCUUGAAGAGUCGGGUUGUUUUGUAUUGCAGCCCUAAGUGGGAGAUAAACUUCUUCUAAGGCUAAAUAUAUAUGGGAAACCGAUAGCGAACAAGUACUGUGAAGGAAAGAUGAAAAGAACUUUGAAAAGAGAGUCAAAAGACUUGAAAUCGUUGAGAAGGAAGGGGUAGAAAUUUAUUCUUCGGCGGAGGCCGGUGGUAGUCGCCUAACCAUUGCUGAUUAAGAGAACCGCAAGGGCUCUGGUUGGUACCUGGGGAAGUGGCUGCUUUGGUCUCCGUCGUGAGGCAAGAUGGGGUCGUGCGGCCACAAAGGCUUCCUACAAAUCGUUGCCUUCGGGCGGCAGUGUGGGUGUGCCGGUGGAAGUGCGGCCUGAGGAUGCUUCGGCGAUCUUGCCAAAAUGGUUUUUACCCACCCGUCUUGAAACACGG
rnacentral:rRNA from 1 species